rnacentral:rRNA from 1 species
AGUGAACGCUGGCGGUAGGCCUAACACAUGCAAGUCGAACGGCAGCACAGUAAGAGCUUGCUCUUACGGGUGGCGAGUGGCGGACGGGUGAGGAAUACAUCGGAAUCUACUUUUUCGUGGGGGAUAACGUAGGGAAACUUACGCUAAUACCGCAUACGACCUACGGGUGAAAGCAGGGGAUCUUCGGACCUUGCGCGAUUGAAUGAGCCGAUGUCGGAUUAGCUAGUUGGCGGGGUAAAGGCCCACCAAGGCGACGAUCCGUAGCUGGUCUGAGAGGAUGAUCAGCCACACUGGAACUGAGACACGGUCCAGACUCCUACGGGAGGCAGCAGUGGGGAAUAUUGGACAAUGGGCGCAAGCCUGAUCCAGCCAUACCGCGUGUGCGAAGAAGGCCUUCGGGUUGUAAAGCCCUUUUGUUGGGAAAGAAAAGCAGCAAGUUAAUACCCCGCUGUUCUGACGGUACCCAAAGAAUAAGCACCGGCUAACUUCGUG